CCACUACAUGAUUCAGAUAUAAUCUCACAUUUACUUGUUGGCCUCGGUUCCAAUUAUGACGCUCUAGUGACAUCCAUUACCACUUGUGUUGAACAAAUGUCUCUUGACAACAUUUACUCUUAACUGUUGACACAUGAGA